rnacentral:rRNA from 1 species
UACGUAGGGUGCGAGCGUUAAUCGGAAUUACUGGGCGUAAAGCGUGCGCAGGCGGCUUUGCAAGACAGAUGUGAAAUCCCCGGGCUCAACCUGGGAACUGCAUUUGUGACUGCAAGGCUGGAGUGCGGCAGAGGGGGAUGGAAUUCCGCGUGUAGCAGUGAAAUGCGUAGAUAUGCGGAGGAACACCGAUGGCGAAGGCAAUCCCCUGGGCCUGCACUGACGCUCAUGCACGAAAGCGUGGGGAGCGAAUGGG